rnacentral:rRNA from 1 species
GACGAACGCUGGCGGCGUGCUUAACACAUGCAAGUCGAACGGAAAGGCCCUGCUUUUGUGGGGUGCUCGAGUGGCGAACGGGUGAGUAACACGUGAGUAACCUGCCCUUGACUUUGGGAUAACUUCAGGAAACUGGGGCUAAUACCUGAUAGGAGCUCCUGCUGCAUGUUGGGGGUUGGAAAUUUUCGGCGGUUGGGGAUGGACUCGCGGCUUAUCAGCUUGUUGGUGGGGUAGUGGCUUACCAAGGCUUUGACGGGUAGCCGGCCUGAGAGGGUGACCGGCGACAUUGGGACUGAGAUACGGACCAGACUGCUACGGGAGGCAGUAGUGGGGAAUAUUGCAGAAUGGGCGGAAGCCUGAUGCAGCAACGCCGCGUGCGGGAUGACGGCUUUCGGGUUGUAAACAGCUUUCGCCUGUGACGAAGAGUGAGUGACGGUAAUGGGUAAAGAAGCACCGGCUAACUACGUG